rnacentral:rRNA from 1 species
AGCUUCAGUAGCGUAUAUUAAAGUUGUUGCAGUUAAAAAGCUCGUAGUCGCAUUUCUGGCGAGAGGAUCCGGUCCGACCUUUUGGUGGGUUCUUGGGUCUCUUUCGCCAUCCUUGAGUGGUCCGUUCUGGCAUUAGGUUGUCGGAGCGUCAGCCGCUCAUCGUUUACUGUGAGAAAAUUAGAGUGUUCAAAGCAGGCUUAUGCCGUUGAAUAUAUUAGCAUGGAAUAAUAAGAUAGGACCUCGGUACUAGUUUGGUGGUUUGCGCACCAAGGUAAUGAUGAACAGGGACAGUUGGGGGUAUUUGUAUUUCGUUGUCAGAGGUGAAAUUCUUAGAUUUACGAAAGACAAACUACUGCGAAAGCAUUUACCAAGGAUGUUUUCA